rnacentral:rRNA from 1 species
UACAGAGACUGCAAGCGUUGUUCGGAUUCACUGGGCGUAAAGGGUGCGCAGGCGGCCGGGUGUGUCGGGUGUGAAAGCUCGAGGCUUAACCUCGAAAUUGCGCCCGAAACUAUUCGGCUAGAGUACUGGAGAGGGAAGCGGAAUUCACGGUGUAGCAGUGAAAUGCGUAGAUAUCGUGAGGAACACCAAUGGCGAAGGCAGCUUCCUGGACAGUUACUGACGCUCAGAGACGAAGGCCAGGGGAGCAAAAAGG